rnacentral:rRNA from 1 species
AUUGUACGCUGGCGGCAGGCCUAACACAUGCAAGUCGGACGGUAGCACAGAGGAGCUUGCUCCUCGGGUGACGAGUGGCGGACGGGUGAGUAAUGUCUGGGGAUCUGCCCGAUAGAGGGGGAUAACCACUGGAAACGGUGGCUAAUACCGCAUAACGUCGCAAGACCAAAGAGGGGGACCUUCGGGCCUCUCACUAUCGGAUGAACCCAGAUGGGAUUAGCUAGUAGGCGGGGUAAUGGCCCACCUAGGCGACGAUCCCUAGCUGGUCUGAGAGGAUGACCAGCCACACUGGAACUGAGACACGGUCCAGACUCCGAUGGGAGGCAGCAGUGGGGAAUAUUGCACAAUGGGCGCAAGCCUGAUGCAGCCAUGCCGCGUGUAUGAAGAAGGCCUUCGGGUUGUAAAGUACUUUCAGCGGGGAGGAAGGCGGUGAGGUUAAUAACCUUGCCGAUUGACGUUACCCGCAGAAGAAGCACCGGCUAACUCCGUGCCAGCCGCCGCAGUAA